rnacentral:snoRNA from 1 species
AGAGCAACAAUGAUGUUACAUCCAUCUUAACUCAUCCUUGCACUAUGAGUCCAACGGUGAAGAAAGAAAUUGGGGAAUAUGUAGUCUGAGAUGCUC